rnacentral:rRNA from 1 species
CCUACGGGCGGCAGCAGUGAGGAAUAUUGGUCAAUGGACGAGAGUCUGAACCAGCCAAGUAGCGUGAAGGAUGACUGCCCUAUGGGUUGUAAACUUCUUUUAUAUGGGAAUAAAAUGUUCCACGUGUGGGAUUUUGUAUGUACCAUAUGAAUAAGGAUCGGCUAAAUCCGUGCCAGCAGCCGCGGUAAUACGGAGGAUCCGAGCGUUAUCCGGAUUUAUUGGGUUUAAAGGGGGCGUAGGUGGAUUGUUAAGUCAGUUGUGAAAGUUUGGGGCUCAACCGUAAAAUUGCAGUUGAAACUGGCAGUCUAGAGUGCAGGAGAGGUGGGCGGAAUGCGUGGUGUAGCGGUGAAAUGCUUAGAUAUCACGAAGAACUCCGAUUGCGAAGGCAGUUCACUGGACUGCAACUGACGCUGAGGCUCGAAAGUGUGGGUAUCAAACAGGAUUAGAUACCCUGGUAGUC